UACGGGGGGGGCAAGCGUUGUUCGGAAUUACUGGGCGUAAAGGGCUCGUAGGCGGCCAACUAAGUCAGACGUGAAAUCCCUCGGCUUAACCGGGGAACUGCGUCUGAUACUGGAUGGCUUGAGUUCGGGAGAGGGAUGUGGAAUUCCAGGUGUAGCGGUGAAAUGCGUAGAUAUCUGGAGGAACACCGGUGGCGAAGGCGGCAUCCUGGACCGACACUGACGCUCAUGCACGAAAGCGUGGGGAGCAAACAGG
rnacentral:rRNA from 1 species